CGAGGGGGCUAGCGUUGUUCGGAAUUACUGGGCGUAAAGCGCACGUAGGCGGCUUUGUAAGUUAGAGGUGAAAGCCCGGGGCUCAACUCCGGAAUUGCCUUUAAGACUGCAUCGCUAGAAUUGUGGAAAGGUGAGUGGAAUUCCGAGUGUAGAGGUGAAAUUCGUAGAUAUUCGGAAGAACACCAGUGGCGAAGGCGGUCAACUGGCCUCAGAUUGACACUCAAACGCGAAAGCAUGGGUAGCGAACGGGAUUAGAAACCCCGGUAGUCCAUGCCAUAAACGAUGUACACUGAAUGUUCGUUGUCCUACGGGGCAAUGAGUGUUGAAGCAAACGCGUUAAGUGUACCGCCUGGGGAGUACGGUCGCAAGGCUA
rnacentral:rRNA from 1 species